rnacentral:lncRNA from 1 species
AAAAAAAUAAGCUUUUCUUUGUGAUUUUUGCAAAUACUUUAUCAUAUAAGCUUGAUACUUAAUACCCAUGUUUUAUAUUUCUUGAUUAAUGAGUUUUAUUCAAGUUGUCAUUAAUGGAUAUAUGAUGAAAUUAAGCUUGAAUUUGAUGAGAUUGUUGGUUAGUGAGCUUGAAUUAUGUUAGGACCAAGUUAGAAAGUUGUGAAAAGUGAUGGAUUUGAUUAGAAAUUUAACUAAGCCUUAUAAUUACUUUUAUGAAAUUAGAGAUGAAAUUGAAUAAAUUGAAAGAUGUUAAGAAAUGAUGCUAUAGUUUAAAAGAAAUGAGUCCCUAAUGAAAUAAUAUGAAAUUUGAUUUUGAUUCAAAGCUAAAUAUCAAAAAAUAUGAAUAAUUCGGAUAUAGGGACUAAAAUGAAUAGAAUGCAAAUUAUGUUUAAUUAUGUAUUUUUCAUGUGAUUGGAUGCAAAUUAAAAUAAUUUCUAUAAUCGAAUUAUUAUACGUUGCUAAAGAUAAUGUCUAGCCAUCUCGAGAUAAAAAAAACAUGAGUGUCGUAGAUGAGUAGCUAUCUCGGUUUUUGUUUUCAUGAUUGAGUUCAAUUUAUAUGUACUUGGCUAUUAUGAUUAGCUUGCUUAAGGUAAUGAUCUCACUUGUCUUAUGAAUAGGUAAAUAUGAAAUAGUUAGUAACUUGUGAAAAAUGAAAAAAUAUGCAUAUGAUAGUAUGUAAUGGUAUGAAAUUGAUUUAAGUAUAUGUGUGUCGAAACCUUUUUGAAAUUGACUUAUAUUUUGAAAACGAAUGCAAAUGAGAGUCGCCACCAAUAUUUUUUUAUGAGGUGUGAUUGGAUCACCUCGUAAUUUGAUUAUUUUAAUAAAAGACUUGAUUUACUAAAACAAUGAUUUUUGGUCUACAAAAUCCAGAAAAUGGGUUCGGAAGUCGGUUACGCACGAGGAAGGAUUAGCACCCUCGUUACGCCAAAAAUUGGUACCUAAUUAUCACUCAAUGUCUUAGUAUCGAAAAUUAAAAAUUUGAAGAGAAUUUAAAAUGAGAUCCUUUCAUAUUAAGAUUUUCUAAUAGAAAAGGCUUUAUUCUGAAUUAAUCGAGAAGAAUGAUCAUGCCCUGUGAGUUAGGACAUGACAUCUUUAGUUUUCGAAAAUCAAAAUAAUCGUCGUUAAAUCAUUACUUAUAUCUCGUUUUUAUAUUUUUUGAAAUGGAUAUUCGACUAUUUCGGUUUUAGAAAGAAGCCAUACUCCAUAAGUUAGGAACACGACUUUUCUAAUUCCAAAAAUAAUUAACAUUGCCACGAUUUAAAAAUUUUACCUUUUUUACGCAUAGUGCAAAAAAAAAAAAAACGUGAUACUUAAAACAAUAUGCAUUUUACUUAUUCAGGCAUAAUAUACACAUGGAUAAAUGCUUAAACUUAGGGUCCGUUUGUUUACAUGUAAAAGAUUUUACGGAAAAUGUUUUCUACAUUUUCCUGUGUUUGUUUCACAGAAAACAGCUUGGUCCACGGAAAUUGACUUACAGGUCAAUGGAAAAUAAGUUUUUUUCCUUGUAAAAUGACUUACCCUUUUGAAAAGUGUAAGUCAUUUUCUGGAAAAGAGCUCCUCAAUAGAUAAUUUUACUUUUAUAUAAAAAUUAACUUAAAUUAAGUUUAAUAUUAUUAUAUUGAUAAUAAAUUUUAUUUUUAUUUUUAAAAAUAUUUAAAUUUUAUUUUAAUAGUAAAUUUUAAAAAUAAUAGUUUUAAAUAUUAUUAUUCACAUAUUAUUGAAAAUAUCAAUAUUAAUAUUUUAAUACUAAAUAUUUAUUACAAUUAUAAAUAUAUUAAUAAUAAAUGUUUUGUAGUAUAAAUGUUAAAAUAUGUCAUAAGUCAAUAUACUCUUCACAAAUUUGCAAUUUAGUUUCUGUACUUUUAUUUUCAAGAAUUUAGUCCCUUUACUUUCCAAAUUUGAAAAUCAAGUCCAAUUGCUGACAUUGUUGAUUUUUUUUGUCAAUUUUGUUAAAGUCACAUUUUUAAAUAAAAAAAUGUAACUAAAUUUAAUAUAUGUAACUAAAAAAUAAUCGUUGCAAUGAACCUAAAUUUAACAAAAUAUUUUUAAUAUAUGUAAAAAAUGUAAAAUAUAAAAUUAUAGAUAUAAAAUAAACUCAAUUAAACAAUGAAAAAAUAAAAAAAAUUCAAAUGUAUGUUUAUUUAAUUGAAAACGACUUUUAUGAAAUAUUUUUAAAGAACUUGCCAAACAAAAGAAAAUAUUUCACAUAGAUUCAUCCAAACACUAGAAAAUAUUAACUUUUCCAGAAAAGUAAGUCAUUUUUCAGAAAUCAUUUUCCGAAAGCCAUUUUCAGUGAAACAAAUAGAGCCUUAAUGUAUGACAUGGUGAUAGCGAAAUAAUAUAAGAUGACCAUGCGGGUAUAACAUUUUUAUUAGAAUGAUAAAUAACAAAUAAAUGGAUAAAUACUAUAGUAAUAAUAAUGUAAAUUUGGCAAUAAUAAGAAUAUUAAUUCAUGGCAUUAAUAACAAAAUAAAUAAAGUAACUUUGAAAUAAAAAAUAAAAUGAAAGGGAAGUAUAAGUAAUAUCGAAUUUAAAUAUUAAAAAAAUAAAAUAAUAAUAAAUAAAUAGGUAAAACAAAAAUAUUAAAUUUAAGUAUUUAAAAAGUAAAAGAAUAAAUAAAUAAAUAAAUAAAAUAAGUAAUAUUAAAUUUAAGUAUAUGAGAAAUAUACUUAGAAAAUAAAAAAUAAUGAUGACAAUAUACACAAAUAAAAGGAAUAUAAACAAUAAUUUUUUAAAUAUAUGAGAAAGAAUAAAGAAAUAAUAAAUAAAUAAAUAAAUAAAUAAGUAGAUAAAUAGAAAAGCAAAUAAUUUAAUAAAGAUUAAAAAUAAAGGACUAAAUUGAAAUUUAAAUGAAAUUAAGGGCAUAAAUUAAAAAAAAGAAAAAAAUAGACUAAUAAGGACUAAAAUGUAACACGCUAAAAGGGACAGGGACCGAGCGAGAAAAUAUCCCAAACUUUCCUAUGUGCAUCGUUUAAAAGGACCAAAAUAAAAAAAAUUUAAAAUUAAACGGGAUAAAUUUAAAAAGGAAAAAACAGAAAUAGGACUAUAUUGAAAAUUGCUUAAAAACCGGAAGAACCAAAGGUGCAAAUAGACCACCCAUUAAAAAACACACGAAUCCUUGCCAAGGUCGGGUCGGAUCUCGGGUCGGUCUCCAAGACAAAGUCGUUUUGGGGUAUUUCAGACCAUCUCAAAACGGCGUCGUUUAGCAAGCCUAUUUAAGUCAAAAUUUUUUUCAAAAAUUCAUUUUAGCUUAUGUUUUUUAAAAUAAAAUUUCAAAACCUUUUUCUUUUUUUUUUUUUCUCUCAAAGCCCUCUUCAACCGGCCUUGGCUUCGGGGAGUCACCACCGCAAUGGCCAUUGGUCAUCGGCGACGGCUCCGCCGUACCCGAUGGUCGAAAAACCUUAAAAAUCCCUUUUUAGCCCCUCUCUUCGAAUAAAACGCAGAUUCGAGGUUAUAACACGCAAAAGAGUCAUCGUUCGACAAAAACCCCGGAGGGACCGUUCGGUUUCUCGCUCUCUUUGACACAGUUUCAGGCGAAUCCCUAAGGAUUUGACUGCCUUAUAUGCCAGCGAGGGUCACUAGCUACGGAGGCGGAAAGCAGAACGGCAUGUACGUUUAUUAUUAUUAUUAUUAUAUAUGUAAACAAAUUCGAAAAAAGAAAAAUAAAAAGAUCACCUUUUGAAGUUUUAUUUAUUUAUUUUGUAUUUCGAUUGUUUUUUUGUGUAUAUUUCUCAGUAAAAAAAUAUUACGAUCUGGUUAUGGCUUUUAUAGCCAUAUGUUUCACUUUUCGUUACAUUUUUAUUUUUUCUCUACUGUUCCUUGCAUGUUCUUUGUUGUUUUUUGUAUGUGGUGGUUGACGACGGUGGCAGAGCAAUUAGUGGUGGUAGGCUAGGGUGUGGCGGUGGCUAGGUAGGGUGCGGCGCUAGUUUUUUUCUGAAAAUAGUUUAGGUUGUUGGGCUUGUAACUUUGUGUUAGGGUUUUUUUGUUUUGGGCUUUUUGGGUAGUGUAUUGGGCCUGACAUGUAAUUGGACUUUGAGACUGUUAAUUUUAAUUUUUGGUUGCUGUUUAGGGCCCGGACAAAAUUGGCCCCUUACAAGUGCCCCUCUUUUCUUAUUAUCGUGUAACGGGAAUGAAGCAAAGACUUUAAGAAGGGUCAAUUUUGUCUAGUCUUGCCAAAUCUCGACUUCUUUAGUGCUUCUCUUUUCCAAGUAGCCUCAUUUUAACCUACUGCAAUUUUAAGGGUAUAAAACUUGUAGUUUUAAUCUACUCCACUGCAACUUCAGGGAGAAGACUUGUAGCUUCAAUCUACUCCACUGCAAUUUAGAGAGAUAACAUUUGUAACUUGUAUCUUUAAUAUGUUCCACUACAACUUUAGGGAGAUACGAUUUGCUAUGGUAAAUUUAAUCCGACCCACUACAACUUUAGAGGUAUAGGAUUUAUUUUCAAUCUACUCCGCUGCAAUUUUAGGGAGAUAAGACUUGUAGAUUUAAUCUUGCUCCACUGUAACUUCAGGGAGAUAAGAUUUGUAACUUUAAUCUACUCCACUGCAACUUUAGGGAGAUAAGAUUUGUGACUUCAAUCUGCGCUACAGCAAUUUUAGAGUGAUAAGAUUUGUUAUCUUCAAUAUGCUCCACUGCAACUUUAGGGAGAUAAGAUUUGCUAUCUUCAAUUUGCUCCACUGCAACUUCAGGAAGAUAAGAUUUGUGGUUUUAAUCUGCUCCAUUGCAACUUCAGGGAGAUAAGAUUUGUGACUUCAAUCUGCUCUACUGCAAUUUUAGAGUGAUAAGAUUUGCUAAAUUCAAUCUGCUCCACCGCAACUUCAGAGAGAUAAGAUUUGCUAUCUUCAAUCUGCUCCACUGUAACUUCAAUGAGAUAAGAUUUGUGGUUUUAAUUUGCUCCAUUACAACUUUAGGGAGAUAAGAUUUAUCAUGAUAACUUCAAUACGUCCCACUGUAACUUCAGGGGUAUAGGAUUUGUGGUUUUACUGAUUUGUUACACCGUUCUCUAGGAACAUAACCUGUAGAAUCCAUUUCAUGGGCCUAUAUUUAUGCCAAGCGAUUAGGAUGUUAUUAUCAGAAUGAAUCAAAUGCUCCUAACUAGAUGUGUAUGAAUGAUGUUUGCAUGAAUGUAGAAUGUCAUUUUUCAAGAAUAAUCCCCUUUUAAUACUUAGGUUGACAUUGCUCGUUGUUCAUCAAGGUUCUAUCACUGAUAUAUUACCCUGCCUUCUUGUUCAGUUGGUAUCUUUGACAGAAAACCUGAGGAAAUAGUCACAAUUUAAACUAUUUGUUCCCAAACAUUUCCAACUCUUAGGUUUGAUUAGUUCUGACUAGUGGUCCUAUUUCAGGUUAUUGUACUAUUUAGGAAACCUUUCAGAGCAAUAUGCAAAUAUCCUUUUGCUUGAAAAUUAUUUAUCCAUCAAUCAUUAUUUCAAUGAAAAAUGCUUGAAAAAGAUCGUAACAAUGGACAAGAUUGAAAUUUAUUGGGAGUAGAGCUCGAAAUGAAUAGAUUUAUCAAAUAUAGCAAUCGUUGCUAAAAUACAAAAUGAGUGAGAUGAAAAUAGGUGCCUCAAAUAUUGUAGUAUUAGCUUUUCUGCUCAAACUUCUCGAGGACCAUUUUGAACCUGAUAUGUGUUUAGGAGAUCUAGAGUACUUUGUUGAUGCCCCAAGAUGUAACGUUUCUCCUUCUGAGAAGACCCGACCAUCACAUGUUUAAUACAAAUUUGAGCUGCCCUUUCCUGAGUUUUCAACUCAAAACCCCUUUGGUCUCAAUGCGCCCUUUGCGAGUUUUCGCCUUGGCCUCUCCCCCCCUUUUUUUAAGUGAAGUAUUUCUUGACCGAAUCUAAAUUCACUGGAUUAGGCAAGUUUUUCCAUCCAUCUCGGUCAGAAUCAGUGUUCCUCCAUAAAAAUUCUUCUUUACUACAUAAGGUCCUUCCCAAUUCGUCAUCCAUUUCCCUCUGAACUUCUUUUGUAUGGGCAGGAUCUUUUUCAAUACUAGGUCUCCCUCAUAGAAUUCCCUAAGGCAAACCUUUUUGUCAUAAGCUUGCAUCAUUCGUUUUUGGUACAUCUGACCAUGACAGAUAACUUUCAACCUCUUCGCUUCAAUCAAGUUCAGCUGAUCAUAUCGGGAUUGGAUCCAUUCUACUUCAUCUAACUUCAACUCUAACAAAACUUGGAGAGAAGGAAUCUCGACUUCAAUAGGCAAAACUGCUUCAAUUCCAUAAACCAAUGAGAAAGGCGUUGCCCUGGUAGAGGUUCUAACAGACGUUCGAUAAGCACAAAGGGCAAAUGGUAGCUUCUCAUACCAAUCUUUAUAGGUUUCAGUCAUUUUCCCCACGAUCUUUUUAAUGUUCUUAUUGGUUGCUUCCAUCGCACCAUUCAUUUUUGGGUGAUAUGGUGACAAAUUGUGGUGUUUGAUCUUUAAUUGACUACAAACCUCCACUAUCGUGCUGUUGUUCAAGUUCAAUGCAUUGACAGAUAUAAUCCUUUCUGGCAUCCCAUACUGACAUAGGAUCUCUUUCUUCAAUAAUUUACUAAUUACCGAUUUCGUGACAUUGGUGUAAGAAGUGGCUUCUACCCACUUGGUGAAGUAAUCAAUGACUAUGAAGAUGAAUCGAUACCCAUUGGAAGCUUUUGGUGAGAUCAGCCUAAUGAAAUCUAUGCGCCACAUAGAGAAAGGACAUGGAGAAGUUAUAACAUGGAGAGGUGAAUGAGGCACAUGAAUUUUGUCUCCAUAAAUUUGGCACUUAUGACAUCUCUUGGCAUAAUUGAUACAAUCCCUUUCCAUGGUGGACCAAUAAUAUCCAAAUCUCAUGAUUUGCUUAGCCAUUGUGAAACCAUUAGCAUGUGUUCUGUAAACACCCUAAUGGACUUCUUCCAAGAUUUUCUUAGCCUUAACAGCGUCCACACAUCUUAGUAGCACCUGAUCCUUUCUUCUUUUAUACAGGAUCUCCCCAUCUAAGAUAUAAUCAUUGGUCAAUCUCCUCAGCGUCCUUUUAUCAUUCUCGGUCACCUGAUCAUGGUAUUCAUUAUUCUUUACAUAUCGUAGUAUAUCGUAGUACCAAGGGUGAUCAUCCUUUUCCUCUUCCUCGAUGUUGUAAUAAUGAGCUGGAGCCUCAUAAAUACUCAUCUGGAUAGGUUUUACAUCAUCUUGUUCGUUCACUUUGAUCAUGGAAGCUAAAGUAGCCAGGGCAUCAGCCAUCUGAUUUUCAUCUCUCAGGAGGUAACAGAAGGUUAUGUCAUCAAACUCUUUAAUUAACUCUAAGACUAGCCUUCUAUACUCGAUCAACUUGGGUUUUAUGGCUGCACGAAUACCCAUUCACCUUUGAGUUGAUAGAUCACUAGUGCAGAAUCCCCAUAUACCUUAAGUACUUUGAUCUUGCGUUCUAUGGUUGCACAGAUACCGAAGAUGCAUGUUUUGUAUUCCACCAUAUUGUUCGUGCAAUCAAAAUCCAAUUUACUGGUAAAAGGAUAAUGAUAUCUAUUUGGGGAUACUAGGACUGCCCCGAUUUCGUUACCCAUAGCGUUUGACGCUCAGUCAAAGUUUAGUUUCCAAGGAUUUCCUUCUUGAACAUCUUCUUCAGUGGUUGCGACAUACAUCAGAUCUUCAUUCAGAAAAUUGAAAUUCAAAGGCUCGUAAUCUUCUAGAGCUUUGCUGACUAGAAAAUCUGCUAUUGCACUCCCUUUUAUUACCUUCUAGUUCACAUAGACUAUAUCAAAUUCGGAAAGUAGAAUUUGCAAUCGGGUCAUUAUUCCAUUCAGAGUAGUCAACUCCAUCAUGUACUUUAGAGAGUCUAUUUUUUGGUACAACAUGUACUGUUUCAGUCUCCCGAGUUGUCCAGAUCAAGGCGCAACAUAACUUCUCAAUUGGUGAAUAUCUUGUCCUACAUUCAGUGAAUUUCUUACUGAGGUAGUAUAUUACUUUUUCUUUUCUUCCUGACUCAUCGUGUUGGCCAAGCACACAUCCUAUAGAAUUCCCAAAUACUGCCAAGUACAGUAUCAGCGGCUUAUCUGGGCUAGGUGGCAUCAGCACUGGGGCAUUUGGACAGGUAAUGUUUAACCUUAUCAAAAUUUUUCUGGCAUUUCUCAUCCCAUACACCUGGAUCGUGUUUCUUAAGGAGACAGAAUAUGGAGUCACAUUUCUCGGUCAGUUGUGAAAUGAACCGGGCGAUGUAAUUUAGUCUUUCUAGAAAACCUUAGACUUCUUUUUUAGUGCGCGGUGGAGGUAACUCCUGUAUAGCUUUCACUUCAUCCGGGUCAAUCUCGAUUCCCUUUUCACUAACUACGAAUCCCAACAAUUUUCCCGACCUAGCCCCAAAGACACAUUUUGCUGGAUUGAGCUUUAGCUAUAAUUUUCUCAACCUCAAAAACAAUUUCCUCAUGACUUGUAUAUGCUCUUCUUCUGUUCGGGAUUUUACAAUCAUAUUAUCGACAUAAAACUCGAUUUCCUUGUGCAUCAUAUCAUGAAACAGGGUUAACAUUGCUCUUUGAUACGUCACUCCCAUAUUUUUUAGUCUGAAUAACAUCACUUUAUAGCAAAAUGUUCUCCACAUGGUUACGAAUGUGGUCUUUUCCAUGUCUUCAGGAUGCAUCUUUAUCUAGUUGUAACCGGAGAAGCCAUCCAUAAAGGAGAACAGUGAAUAACUUGUCGUAUUGUCCACUAAGGUGUCGAUGUGAGGCAACGGGAAAUUAUCUUUCGGGGUAGCCUUGUUUAAAUUCCUACAGUCUACACACAUUCGUACUUUCCCAUCUUUCUUACGGACGGGGACUAUAUUGGCUACCCACUCUGAAUAUUUAACCAUUUGGAGGAAACCAGUGUCAAGUUACUUCUUGACCUUUUCUUUUAUUUUUAACAGGACGUCGGGCCUCAUCCUUCGAGGUUUCUGUUGAACCGGCUUACAUUAUUCUUUUAUGAGAAGCCAGUGUACCACAAUAUCAGUACUUAGACUAGGCAUGUCUUGAUACGACCAUAUGAAGACCUCCUUGAAUUCUUGGAGUAACUUAAUGAGGUAUCGCUUUAUCUUUGCGGUGAUGCAAGCUUCGAUCUUCACCUCUUUCUUUUCUUGUCCGUUUCCUAAGUCCACAAUUUUUACUAACUCUUUGUGAGGUAGAAUCUAUUUCUCCUCUUGUUCUACCAUCUUUGACAAAUCAGGAGAUAGGUUACAAUCUCGACCAUUUUCAAAGUCUUGAGGUUCCUCUAGGCACAUAUCUUGCUCAAAAGGAGAUUUUGAGUCAGUAGCAGCGUCGCUCAUAUCAUUGAUAUCUGGAAACCUGUUAUAGGAGCGAAAGAAGACCCAAAGAACAAAUGAAUCUAAGAAUAAUUAUCUGUGUGGUAUGAGUAUGAAUAAAAUGGAAAGAAUAAAAGAAUAUUUGCCAAAAUGAGACACAAAGAUGUAUUUUAUUGAAAUAAAAACAAUGGACAUAUGCCUUUUUCACAAAAGGGUUCUUAAUUCUCCCAAGCUUAGAGCAAUAAGUGUGUUUUCAACAUUACUCUGAAUUAGUUCUAAAAAUUACAGGGAUGUCUUCUACAGUCUAAUUGUUCAGAACACUUUUGGGAAUGUAAGGACGAAUACCUGACAGGUUUUCCCCAAUUUCUUUUUCAGAUAUGGCAUUAAUGCUCAAGUUUCCCAACAUUUUUUCUGCAGUUUCUUUUCUUGACGUCUUUUAUUCAGGAUAAAUGGUUUCUCUUGACGCGAAUGUUUUGGAUAGAUGGGGAAAGGUCAUUGGUUCCCACUUGAAUUCUUUACCACUCAGUCGCGCUCUUCUCCUUUUUUGCUUCUUCUCCAACUCCAUUUUCUUUUGCUUCGCAUCUAGCUUAUAUCUUAAACCAAAGCGGUCUCGUUUGUCUAUCAGCAUUGGUGCCUCGACUCUCCCUUAUAGAUAUUUUUUGAGUCUUUUUCUAGGUAAGGCUCAUUUUGCAACCGUCAACUGCAGACCCAUCCUCGUAGUUUUGGAUAUUUUGGGCACUGAGAUCUUGCUUCCUUCAACAAUGAAAGUUGCAUUAACAAAUGCCAAUGAUAGAAAGGAACAUUCUAUUGCCUCAUCAUUCGCUCCUAUGUGUGGUGUGUCACUAGUUACAGAUGCGAUAAUGUCCUCUUCAGCAUUUAUCGUUACCAAUCGACCCUUCGUCACCAACUUCAGUUUUUGGUGUAGUGACGACGACACUGCCCCAGCCGAGUGAAUCCAAGGUCUGCCUAACAAGCAAUUAUAAGAAGGUUUGAUAUCCAUCACCAAAAAGUCUACCUCAUAUGUGUUCGGACCAAUUAGGAGAGGUAUUUCAAUCCUUCUCAUCACCCUCAUCUCUGUACCAUCGAAUACUCUCACUAUACUUUGACACGUUUUCAUAUGAGAGCUAUCCACUGGUAAUCUAUUCAGUGUGGAUUGAGGCAAGACAUUCAGCGCAGAUCCGUUGUCGAUUAAUACCCCUGGCAAUGUAUAUCCUUUGCAGCGGGUAGUGAUUUGUAGGGCCUUCAUGGAUCCCAUUCCCUUUGGAGGUAUUUCAUCGUCAUUGAAAAAGAUGAAAUUGUCGGCACUAAUAUUGUUAACCAGGCGGUCUAGCUUGUUUACAGAGACAUCAUUAGUGACAUAAGUUUCAUUCAGCACUUUCAUCAAUGCGCUACGAUGUGUCUCGGAGCUCAAGAGUAAGGCUAGCACUGAUAUGCGAGCUGGUUGUUUGUGUAGUUGUUCUACAACACUAUACUCGCUAUGCUUCAAGAAUUUUAGGAAUUCCUUAGCCUCGUUCUUAUUUACUGGCUCUUUAAUAGGUGAUUCAAACCUAACCGUCUUUUCUUUCUUUUGCUCAACUGUCAGGGUUUUUCCUUUAGUGGGCUCGAUUUUUACACCUGCAAGGUCAUAGCGCCUUCCACUGUGCAUGUAGAAACUGAUAUCUUGGCCCUUUUCUGAAGUGCCAACCGAGUUCUCCUCUCCUAGGAUUAUCACGUUGCAGUCGUAAUUCCAUGGAACCCUUUUGCUAUCUUUAUAGGAAAAAGCCACAAGUUUCUGAAUUAUAACUCUCGGUGCAACUUGUGCUCCCACUUCAUUAUUUCUUGGUCGUGAAAUAAUCACCACUGAGUGAUUGACUUUGUGGAUCUUCUCCAUUGAUACUUCAUCUGAGGCGAAAAUAUCUCCUCAUUCUGAGUCCUUGACAUCUUCAAAGAAUUCCAACUCUUUUUUAUCCAUUAAACUUUGCACUAAAGCUCUAAAUUUAACGCAUUCUUGGAUUUCAUGACCUUUUUCAGCAUAAAACUCAAAGUAAUUCCUCAUUCGUUUGGGUACCUCCUCCGAAUCUUGAACGAUUAAUCUCACGUCUAUCAUUUUUUUCUAAACCCAUUUUAGUUGGGGUUUUUUACUUCCGCCACAUCAGUUUUGGUCCUCUUUUGUCCAUUAUCAAUUAUCGUGUUUACCUAUUGAUCUGAAUGACUGGGUAAUAGAUUUUCUACCACAUUAGGUCCCGACAGAUCAUCGAACCUUACAAUCUCCAUCUUGAUAAACCUUUCAAUCAACUUUUUAAAUGCAGUGCAGUUCUCUAUUGAGUGUCCCAUUAUUCCUGCGUACUACUCGCAUUGAGCAUUCGCAUAAUACCAUUUUGGGAAUGGAGGUUUCAUGGGUUUUAAAUAAAACGGGGAUACCACAUGCGCAUCAAAAAAAUUCUGAUAUAGCUCCCUAUAUGUCUUUGGGAUGGGUGUGAACUGGAGUUUUUUUGUGUUUGGUCUUGAGUUAGAUUCUUGCCUUGAAGGGCCUUGAUGGCUUGUUGUUACUGUCCUUGGUUGGCCUACAGUGAUCAGUUUUAAAUAACCUUUAUACACACUCGAGUGUUUACUUCAUUUUUCUUCUUUCUCGGGGCUGAUAUUUUAGCGUUUUCCCCCGCAUCUAUUUUCCCACUCCUUACUAUAUUUUUAAUCAUCUCUUCAGAUAUUACUAUAUCUAAGAAGCUCUUGGCAGCACUUCCCAACAUAUGGUUAAUAAAUUGGGCUUUUAGAGUGUUUAUGAAAAGUAUUGUUAUCUCAUUCUCUAGAAGAGGUGGUUGGACUUGUGUUGCCACCUUUCUCCAUCUCUGAGCGUAUUGCUUAAAGCUUUCACUUUGCUUCGUCUCCAUGUUUUGUUGCGUAAUUCUAUCGAGUGUCAUGUCGGUCACAUGGUUGUAUUACUUCAUGAAAGCCUGUGUCAGGUCCUUCCAUGAGUUGAUUUUGGCACGACUUAAUUGGUUGUACCACUUGGCGGCCGACCCGACCAAACUAUCCUGGAAGUAGUGAAUUAAUAAUUGGUCGUUAUUAACGUAUCCCGUCAUUCUUUGGCAGAACAUUGUGAUAUGGGAUUAAAGACAACUAGUCCCAUUAUAUUUUUCGAAUUCUGGAGUUUUGAAUUUUGGUGGGAGCACUAGAUUGGGGACUAAGCUCAGCUCAUUAACAUCAACCUCGUAAAGGUAGUCGACACUCUCUAUAGCUCUAAAUUUCUUUUCCAACCACUUGUACUGAUCUUCUAGCUAUUUUCGUAAUUCUACCUUCGCUCUAUCCAUUUUGGCCAUGUCGUCCAAAUCGGAAACAACUGGGUCGGAUUAUCCUCAGGAUUGGAACCUGAACCUGUUGGGUAAUUCACCAGUGUUGAAGUGUCGGCUUGAUAUUGUUGCGGUCUGAUGGUAACGGGUACCUUUCGUGGAUAUCUAUCUGGUUGGGCUUGGACAUUCACUAGGGUAAAGCCUGGGGGUAGAUAGGGUCUUCAUUAUCAUCCCCGGAUUAAUUUAUAGUACUUUUCCCUUUUUUAGUCCCUUCGGCCAGCAACUGGGUCAACUGGCUUAUCAUGCUUCGUUGGGACUCUUGUAUUUGAUCCCUCAUGUCUUGUUGUACCUUAACUAAUUGUUCCUGCAGCUGGGCUUGCAACUAAUCUUGCAUGUCUUUCUAAAUUUGUUCCAAUCUCUCUAACCUUUGAUCCAUGGCUCUGGUUUAUCAUGGGUACCGUAAUGAUAUUCGGUUGACAAAUUCUUAUUGGUUUCCAGGGUAAUUGUUAUAAUUUUGAUUAAUUAGAGUCUUUUUAUGAGACUUAAUGCAUAUGAUGAAAUGUAAUGCUGAUGAACGAAAAAUGAAUGCAAAAAAGAGGCGUUGAUUCUGAUUCAGUUAUAUUAGAAUAACUUUACUAGAAAAUGAAUCUCUUUACAUAAAACAUAUACAUUUUACAUAUACGGUCUUGCCCUAAUACUCAAAGCCUUGACUUUCUUAAGAAGCCAAGCUAAUUCUCAGCCCUGAUCCAAUUCUGAUUCGUAUUUUAAGCUCAACAUGUCAGCUUGAGCAGCUAAGGUUUGCAGAUGGUCGGCUACUUCCCGUACUUGAGUCACAACUUCACCCAUGAUGUGAUUUCUAUCUCUAAUUUAACCUUAAGAGCGUUGGAAUUACUUUUUCCAGUGUUCAUUGUUCGUUUCUAGAAGUUCAACUCGAAGUUUACAAUUUCGCAGUACAGUCUCGAGCUCUUCUAUCUUUCUCUUCAACUCUUCAAUCUUAUUUAGGCUUGCUUUCAACUCAAUUGAGGAGUUGUGACUAUGAUAUUGAUGCAGUAACCUUUCUAAUACUGCUACCCAAGCUCUUAACCUAACCUUUUUAUUUUGGUUUUCUAACAAAUCUCUUUUUAGAGCAUCUUCUCGAACUAGAGCAUCUUGGAGUUUCUAUUCCCACUGAUUGACUCUAAUCUUUUCUUCUUUAAUCUCUUACCGCCAUUGCUCCGAUGUUUUACCCAAUCCGGGAGUUCUUAUCGACAAGCACAGCUUCUUAUAAUCUGUUUUUAGACUGUCUACCUCUUCCUCAGCCUUGUUAUUUCCUUUUCUCAUUUUCUUGGCUUCUUGUUAUUACAAAACUCCGGUAAGGAAAAUCUCGAACACACGAUCAGAACUCGAAAAGAAAAAGAAGAAAUAGGACAAGGCUCCAAGGCGUGUAUCAAGCCACUAUCUUUAAGGUUAUAUUCGCCCCCACUUAUCUUCAGUGUGCAAAUGAGUUCCAAGCAAAUUAACCUCGAGGAUACAAUGAAGCCAAUGACUAUUUACGUUUUGCACUGACGAGAAUAGUCCACUAUGCACUGAGCAAUGUGUAACAAAAACUCAGAGCACGUUUGGUUCGCUGUAUUGGAUUAGAGGUGUAUUGGAUUAGAGGUGUAAUAGCAAAUCAAUUGUUUGGUUGAAUGUAAUGGAAUAGAGGCGUAAUAGUAAUCUUGUGUUUGGUUGAAUGGAAUAGAGGUGUAAUAGCAUAAUGGAAAAAACUAAAAUGACAAGAAUACCCUUAGCAUAAAUUUGUUUUGGUAAAUGAUUAUUGUUAUUGUUAUUUAAAUUUUAAUAAGAUUAUUAUUAUCAAUAAUAAAUAAUUUAAUCAGAUUUAAACAUAAUUAUUAUUAAAUAUAUUAUAAUUAAAAUAUAUAAUUUAGUAAAAUUCUUAAUAAUCAAUAUUCUUAUAUGAAUUUACUCAAAUCAUAAUAUGUGAUACUAUAAAAUAUAAAUUAACAUAAUUAUUAUUAAAUAUAUUAUAAUUAAAAUAUAUAAUUUAAUAAAAUUAUUAAAAUAUAAAUUUUGAUGUUAAUAAUUUGUUUCUUAUUGACAAACAAUUACUACAAAAUAGGACACAAAUAUAACAAAUCCCAUUAAUAUAUUCUUAAAAUACAUUCAAUCCUUUUUUAAUGAAUUGAAAAUAAACUCGGUCUACUAUAACUAUUGUUCAAAAAUAACAAUGAAGUCUAUUCCCCAUCCAAAUUUAAAGGUUUUAAAGAUAUCUUAAUUGUACAAUUCUAUGACGACUAGAAUAUCGAAUAAUACAUAAAUUAUGUUGAAUGCUGGCAAAUUUGUAGUUGAAAUGCAUUGAGAACAUAGUAUUUUACCAUUAUAAUUAAACAAGAGUGCGAAAAUGAAUAUCUGCGAUGCAGAAAUGGUCAAGUUGUAUGACAUAAUGUAUAUUUUAUGAACAUGAGCCCCCCCAAAAAAAACAAAAACAAAAUCUAUGAUUAUGAAGGAUUUUCCUGCCAAAAAUAGUAACCGAGGCAAAGGAUUCCAAUAAGCUUAAAAAGAGGUAAUUUCUAUUCUUUUUAGCAAUCCUCAAUCAUAAAAGCCUCAUGACAGUCGGUCAUUGCCUCCCACUUGGAAGUUUGCUUCCGAUCAGUCUUCAAUGGCCAGCUAUGAAUGAGCUCCUAAACAUUUCAGCAAAAUACGAAGACUCCCUUCUCAGAUUUUAUCAUUCGUUUUGCCAGAGCAGUUCCAACAAUUCUCUCGAGCU